AAUAACGACUCAUAUGAAUAUAGCGCAUGAUCGAGAACACAGUCUAUAUUUACUGUAUGCUAUGUCGUCGCCCUUCUACCUCAUCCUUCGUAUUUUAUCCUCCCCCCACCUCCUUACCGAUCAGCACGGGCUUGCGACUUGCGACGUCGCUCGCAACGGCGGCUGCCGCGCUAGUUUGACAUUUUCGUCACGAUCGGAGCGAGUGUAGGCAAGCGGUGCGUGAUCGCAACGGCGGCGACGGCGACGGCGACGAUAGCAUCAAGCGGUUUCGGUUUGUUUCGCGCGCGGCGACCACCGGCAACGGUCCCGGGCCCAGCGGCGGCAACGUCGACGAUCACCGCGAGUUUCCUUCCCUUACGAGCGACGGUCGUCGCACCAUAGGUUCGCCCUCUCAUCUGUAUGCCUUGCGUACGCCCCCACCGUCGCCGAUUUUCCAUGAAUGUUGAUAUUGUCUUCCCGCAACCAUUGGUAAUGCAAACAUCCUUCCUUGAUCUGAAGUCUGUAAGAUGGUUCUCAUCGUCCAGUUCCAAUUUUAGCUGAGAUUAAUACAGAAAUGUGAGCAGUGACUGGACAUUUAGCGAAACGAAUACAGUCCAGCUUGGUGGUAAUGCGGGGAUGUGGAUCUGCUUCGACCCGAUAGGAAGCCGAAUAGGCUGGGGUACUUCUAUCUCGUUUGUUGUACUCCUGUAUUGGACCUCCAUUACCAUUGAUGCCAGCCUAACGAAUGCAGCCGCGUCCAAUGUCCCUCGUAAUACCGUCACAUCGGAGAUACCAGCGUCGGCACAUCACGAGAACGACGAAUGCAGGAAUGUGACCACUGACAAUAGAGAGGGUACUGGACUGUCAGUGGUCAGUCAUGGAUCCGGUUAUCCUCAUUCGCCGAUAGUGCCUCCAACCUUUCUGUACGGAGCUCUUACCUGCCAACCCUAUCAAGGAAUUUACGUGAAUCACAUCUACUUUCAACUUGCAAAUGCCUUCUUCCUAUUGUCACACCUUGCACCAAGCGGCAUACAUGGUGUACUCUAUUUAAGGUGCACUCUACUCGUGGGUUGUGCCUUUCUUGCUUUGUGGGGCUGGACAAUAGCUUGCUGGCUGGACGCUGCUCUCUGGAAUGCUCUCUUUGUUGCCAUCAACUUCGUCCAUGUAUGCACGCUUCUAUACAAGCUCAGGCCUAUCAAGUUUACAAGGGAAAUCGAAGAGGUAUACGUUGCAGUGUUCCAGCCGUUACGAGUGUCUCGUCAUCAGUUCAGAAAAGUAUUAAAUUGUAUGAAGACCAUUCGUCAGUUGAAGUAUCAAGAAGUUUAUGCACAAGAAAAAGUGACCAAAGUCGAUUCUUUAUCGUUGGUUCUGUCGGGAAAACUAGUUGUGUCGCAAAAUGGAAGAGCGUUGCAUAUUGUCUUCCCACAUCAAUUCCUGGAUUCUCCAGAAUGGUUUGGUGUCUCGACAGAUGAAUACUUUCAAGUAUCAAUAACAGCUAUGGAAGAAUCAAGGAUAUUAUUGUGGCAUAGAGACAAACUAAAAUUAAGCAUAAUUAGCGAUCAAUUCCUGCAGGCAGUGUUUGAUCACAUUUUGGGCAGAGAUGUAGUUAAAAAAUUGAUGCAGGUGAGUGAAACAAUGGCUGCUAGCAGUCAUCAGCAGCAGAACGGACAGAUAAUUGGUCUAGGUGGUAUUGGAGCCUUAGAAAAUGACGCUGAUACAAAGCUUUUUGUUGUAAAAAAGACUGGUGAUAGUCAAGGCAUCACUGCUCUCAUCAGUCGUCAACUUCAAGAAGAGAGAAUGCCGCUGCUGUACACAAAUCAAGAAGUACUGAAUAAUACCCUUCACCAUACGAACCGCCUACGUGUAUCACCCUGUACAUUUCUCCCACACACUAUGUCGUGCAACGUUCAGACUUCGCUGUAAUAUCCUUGCCUACCGAUCGUGCGACAAUCUAGCACAAAAAUCAUAUGUGAUGUACAUGUUAUGUUCCUGCAAUGGAUGCUUAUAUAUUACACAAAUGUCGCAGAGUAAUUCCGUUAAUUGUUCUUCCUGGAUAUUGUACCAAGAGCAGCAGGAGAUCCGAAUGCUUGGAGAUUGGGAAGAAUCGAAGAGACUGAUCACGAAACACCCGUUUAAUGGAAUGAUUGUUAAAUCGAUGUCAUCCUCGACAGUCAAUAUAACGUAACACCGGUGUUUUUACAUAACGUAAUUACAGCAAGCUGAUAUUCAUUGACUAAAUAAUGUGCAUAUUGAAACUGUGCGUAGAAAAAAAUUGAACAUUCUCUUGCCAAUUAAUAAUUUUCCCAGUGGCUAGUCAACCAUAUGCGAUAAUAAACGAAAAUUCCAUCGUUUUGUAGCGUAUGAUGAAUUCCAUUCUAGUUUAUAAAGAGCAAUUAAUCGAUAAGUUUAUGCUUCCAGUGUAUUUGUUGGGUAUGCUUGAUCAUUGAAUUUAUAAGAGUGGUUAUUUAUAAUUUAUUCCGAUAAAUUAUCUCAGUAUGUUUUAUGAUGGAUGUAUAGUGGAUUAAGACUCUUUACAAGUGUGCAAGCGUAAUGAAAUGAGGGUGACAUACUCACAGCGGCGUAACUUCUGUUAAUGUGAGAUCUGUGAUGUCGCGGUGGGACUUGCUAGAAGUCACGGGAGAGGCCUAAAGGAACUGAUUCUUUCCCAUACCCAGAAAUAGUGCCUUUUUACUUACACUUCCUUUCUUAAUGUUUCCAUGGAGAAAAAUAUGUAUAAUAUAUUACUAUAUGCGCCAUAUGACUUAUAUAUUUAUCCAAUGUAUCUAGUAGAGUUCUCCAAAUGUCGCUGUAUUAUAUGUUUGAAGAUUCAUGUUGUGAUAUUGUUAAGCAACUGAUGUUCACGAGUCGAAAAGGCACAAGAAGUUACGCCAUUAUAUUAACGCAAUGAACGUUACAAAGUACGAUAUAAAGGAUAUUGUUGCAAGAUUUAUAUCGCUAUGUCGCUGCUAGAGUCACCGAAUCGCGUAUAUAACUUUCGAUACUUAAUAUAAAAAAAUUAUUACAAAUUGCUACAAGAUAAUAUCGUAAUUACAAUCACAAUGCAUUAAUAAAACUGACAUCAUAUUGAUUAUUUCAUUAUUAUUUGUUUACAAUAAUUGUAUGAUGAUUGUUUUAUAUAAUUGGAAAGGCGAAAGUUAAUACUUUAAGAUGUAUAUUAUGUAAAACAAAUCGAAAAAAUUGUAUAAAAAAUAUUAAUAACAUAUAAUCAAGAAAAAUGACAGUAAUCACGACUACGAGGCAUCGAAAAAUCUCGUUUUUAAUGAUUAAAGUAUUAAAAUAUUUCAGUAAUCGAUUAAAUAAUCAACUUUGGAAACAAUUUUGUUUAAUCUCUAGAAAUAUUGAAAAUUAGAAAAUUGUUUAAAGAAAGCAUCUAUAUUAAGCCCACUUAAAGUUGUAAUACAUACUUUAAGAAGACUUUUUAUAUGUAAAGUCAUAGUUCUGAAUAACACACGUACAUAUUCUAUUUCAAAUAUUACUGACAUUUAUCACACGAUGUAACAAUUAUUCUCUAUUAUGACACACACAGACACACACACACACACACACGUAUACUGCAUAUCCGUAACGAUAUUUUGAACUGAAGAUAUCAUUUUAUGUAGCGAAGUACCGAAGAUUAUAGGAAUGCCUUUUUGAUAUGUAUAAACGUAAAAUGCAGGACCAUCAGAAUUAGUAUUUUUUGCAUACGAUACAUGUAAAAAUAGACGAAUUUAUUACUUUUUAUGUGAAUGUGAAUUGUGUUAUUGAAUCUUUGUUGUUUAUUAUCUCUUAUUGUUGUUAUGAUUAUUUUUGUACGUGAAAUUGUUUUUAGUACAUAGUUAGGGAUAAGCGAAGAAUGGCUGAUGAGAGCUUGAAAAAUUUUAAAAUCAUAUUGGAUACAAUAAGAAUGCGUAUAAAAUGGCAGCGCGAAUAAAGAAAGUUAGUUUUAAACAUAAAA